rnacentral:rRNA from 1 species
GAUGAACGCUGGCGGCGUGCCUAAUACAUGCAAGUCGAGCGAACAGACGAGGAGCUUGCUCCUCUGACGUUAGCGGCGGACGGGUGAGUAACACGUGGAUAACCUACCUAUAAGACUGGGAUAACUUCGGGAAACCGGAGCUAAUACCGGAUAAUAUAUUGAACCGCAUGGUUCAAUAGUGAAAGACGGUUUUGCUGUCACUUAUAGAUGGAUCCGCGCCGCAUUAGCUAGUUGGUAAGGUAACGGCUUACCAAGGGAACGAGGCGUAGCCGACCUGAGAGGGUGAUCGGCCACCCUGGAACUGAGACACGGUCCAGACUCCUGCGGGAGGCAGCAGUAGGGAAUCUUCCGCAAUGGGCGAAAGCCUGACGGAGCAACGCGGCGUGAGUGAUGAAGGUCUUCGGAUCGUAAAACUCUGUUAUUAGGGAAGAACAAAUGUGUAAGUAACUAUGCACGUCUUGACGGUACCUAAUCAGAAAGCCACGGCUAACUACGUG